rnacentral:rRNA from 1 species
ACAUCCAGCGAACUUGGCAGAGAUGCCUUGGUGCCUUCGGGAACGCUGAGACAGGCGCUGCAUGGCUGUCGUCAGCUCGUGUUGUGAAAUGUUGGGUUAAGUCCCGCAACGAGCGCAACCCUUAUCCUUUGUUGCCAGCGAUUCGGUCGGGAACUCAAAGGAGACUGCCGGUGAUAAACCGGAGGAAGGUGGGGAUGACGUCAAGUCAUCAUGGCCCUUACGAGUAGGGCUACACACGUGCUACAAUGGCGCAUACAAAGAGAAGCGACCUCGCGAGAGCAAGCGGACCUCAUAAAGUGCGUCGUAGUCCGGAUCGGAGUCUGCAACUCGACUCCGUGAAGUCGGAAUCGCUAGUAAUCGUGGAUCAGAAUGCCACGGUGAAUACGUUCCCGGGCCUUGUACACACCGCCCGUCACACCAUGGGAGUGGGUUGCAAAAGAAGUAGGUAGCUUAACCUUCGGGAGGGCGCUUACCACUUUGUGAUUCAUGACUGGGGUGAAGUCGUAACAAGGUAGGCGUAGCGAG